rnacentral:tRNA from 1 species
GGGGAUGUAGCUUGGUGGUAGAGCACUUGCCUAGAAUGCACUAGGCCCUGGAUUUGAACCCCAGCACCCUCA